rnacentral:rRNA from 1 species
UACGAAGGGGGCUAGCGUUGUUCGGAAUUACUGGGCGUAAAGCGCGCGUAGGCGGGCAUCUAAGUCAGGGGUGAAAUGCCAGGGCUCAACCUUGGAAUUGCCUUUGAUACUGGCAAGCUUGAGUGCGGUAGAGGGUAGUGGAACUCCCGGUGUAGCGGUGAAAUGCGUAGAUAUCGGGAAGAACACCAGUGGCGAAGGCGGCUACCUGGACUGACACUGACACUGAGAUACGAAAGCGUGGGGAGCAAACAGG